rnacentral:lncRNA from 1 species
ACCUGAAGAGUUGGAGCACCAAAAGAUCUCAUUGCCUCUUUUACUGCUCUCACUUUUACAUAAAAUAAUGGACUCAGCCAUAAUAUGGUCACUUCCUUCCCCAAGAAGAACCUUAGCCAUGGAGUACUGAGAUACUCGGAGGGAGGGUCUUUUCCAGGGAGAUCAAGUCAACCCUUUGUAAAUCAAUCUGGAGCUACUAAGAGCCACAGGCUGCCUAAUACCAGCUCCUGAGACUGGGGUGGCCAAACCAAGGACCAGCU